CCUACGGGUGGCUGCAGUGAGGAAUAUUGGUCAAUGGCCGGAAGGCUGAACCAGCCAAGCCGCGUGAAGGACGAAGGUGCCAAGCAUUGUAAACUUCUUUUGUCAAGGGACAAAAUCAGGCUCGAGAGCCUGACCGAGGGUACUUGAAGAAAAAGCAUCGGCUAACUCCGUGCCAGCAGCAGCGGUAAUACGGGGGAUGCGAGCUUUAUCCGGAUUGAUAGGGUUAAAGGGGUGCGUAGGCGGACUGUUAAGUCAGCGGUAAAGGCCCGGGGCUCAACCCCGGCGAGCCGUUGAAACUGGCUGUCUUGAGAUGUCGAGAGGUAUGCGGAAUGCCCAGUGUAGCGGUGAAAUGCUUAGAUAUUGCGCAGAACUCCGAUUGCGAGGGCAGCAUACCGGCGGCGAUCUGACGCUGAGGCACGAAAGCGUGGGUAUCGAACAGGAUUAGAUACCCGGGUAGUC
rnacentral:rRNA from 1 species